AAUUUAACUUGGAUAAAGAUGAGAGUCUCUGCUCUGGGGAGGAGAGUCACUGACCUUCAAUGGUUUGUUGCCUGAUAAAGAGGAUACUUGCUGGCUUGAGGAGACUAUAAUGUUUUGAGGAGGAAAUGUGGCUUGAUGACUUAAAGAGGAGGAGGAAUUAUUGGCCGACACUUUUAAUUACCAACGUAACCUCAGUGGAACUGUGGCUUCAUCGAGUUCCAGCUCUAGGCAGACAGCACAUCAGGAAGGCUGUAAGACAUCACAGAGACAGAUGCUUGGCUUUUUCUUGGUCUUGGAGAUUCGCUCUGAUGUUUCAAUCCCUUUUGGAGCUUCUAGAUGCUGGCUGUCUGGCCCCUCCUGUUGGUUCUCUGGCCCCUCCUGCUGGUUCUCUGAACUCCCCUCCUGGUUCUCUGCCCAUGCCUGUUGCCUCCUUGGCCCCUCCUGCUGGCCAUCUCCAGAUGCAACAGGCUCUUGGCUUACUUGUUGGCCUGUCGCCCACACCGGCAAUUCCUGACCUUGGUUGUAGUCGUGGCUGUGUUGGGUGGUUGGACACCGGGUGAUGUACUGGGUGCUGAACUUCUGGAUUUGCUCAUCAGCCUCCAGAUUAAUCUGCUCCAGCCUUCAGCAGCUCCUUCCUCUUCUCCCUCUCUCUCUCUGCCCGGGUCAUGGUGGAUGUUAGCCUCGUGUGUCCAGGGAUGGCUGGAAGGGGAGAAGAAGUAGAGUUUACAUUCAACUUAGUGGAUCUGGUAUCA